GUCCCGAAAUAACAUUUUCAUAUGUGUGAAGUGUGUUUAAUUACCCUAAAUCUUUUUUUUAAAGUUGGAUGAAAGAGGCGUUUUCGGCCGUUUAUGAUGAUUAAGAAUGAUUAAGUUUCACUGUGCACACACGGAUUGCACAGGAAACCUUACCUUUUCUUUUUUUUCUUUUCCGUGAUUUCCUCUCAUCUGUCCCUCACUCUCUCUUUUUCCCUCAGCUCCUUCAAACUCACUCAACUCUCAUCUCUCCCGUCAAGCUCAAGCUCUCAUUCUCUUUCUCUCUCAAAAACCCACGGCCAAAACAACAAGUUCAUCAAAACUUCACAGAUCGACGAAACAAAAAUCACCAUCUUCUUCGUUUCGACGAUACGAGUCCAACCAUACCAAUUUCAGGACUUUUCAAGCUUAUAGGAAGCUUCUUGAGGUCCUAAGGAGGCUUGGAGUAGUUCGUUGGAAGUGUUUGGAUGUAAGAACACGGAGAACGACAAGUUCAAAGUUUGGCCGGAGCUUUCAGGGCUUUUUCUGGUGAAUCCACGCCGAGUUAGGGGUCAAGGUAGGUAUGGAUGUGUUCUUCUCGUCAAUACCUUCAUUUUGAUAUAAAGUACGUCGAAAAUGGUUAAGAAAUGAAGAAGUUAUGACACUUUGAAGUUUACCCAGAAAUUCCGGCAAAACACCCACAUCCGGCGAAACCAGUCCGGCGACGCGAGGAAGAAGACGCGCGCGUGGGCAGCGCGUAGAAGUGGCGCGUGAGGGCGCGUGAGAGACCCAAAUCAAGUUCUGAAAAUUGUCACGUGUUCGUGACGUCGUGUAGAUCACCGUGGUGAAAAUUAUACAGACGAAGAACGUAACCAAUCUAGGCGAGGAGGUUACGAACCGGCUACUUAUCAGUUCUAGGUAGCGUAUAUCGGUGAGUCUCGAGGUGUCCAGCUGAAAGUUCUGACAAACCACCAGUCAUGUAGGAUCAUCGUCGAGUGUUGUUAAAUAUGUACAUCUUAUGUUUGACUGCACUUAGACAUUGUGCUCUGGUUGUGUAAUCACACUUAAACUUUCAUUAGAACCUAUCGUAUUUGGUUUUAAUUA